GAUGAACGCUGGCGGCGUGCCUAAUACAUGCAAGUCGAGCGAACAGAUGAGGAGCUUGCUCCUCUGACGUUAGCGGCGGACGGGUGAGUAACACGUGGAUAACCUACCUAUAAGACUGGGAUAACUUCGGGAAACCGGAGCUAAUACCGGAUAAUAUAUUGAACCGCAUGGUUCAAUAGUGAAAGACGGUUUUGCUGUCACUUAUAGAUGGAUCCGCGCCGCAUUAGCUAGUUGGUAAGGUAACGGCUUACCAAGGCAACGAUGCGUAGCCGACCUGAGAGGGUGAUCGGCCACACUGGAACUGAGACACGGUCCAGACUCCUACGGGAGGCAGCAGUAGGGAAUCUUCCGCAAGGGGCGAAAGCCUGACGGAGCAACGCCGCGUGAGUGAUGAAGGUCUGCGGAUCGUAAAACGCUGUUAUUAGGGAAGAACAAAUGUGUAAGUAACUAUGCACGUCUGGACGGUACCUAAGCAGAAAGCCACGGCUAACUACGU
rnacentral:rRNA from 1 species